GGUGAACGCUGGCGGCGUGCCUAAUACAUGCAAGUCGAGCGAACAGACGAUGAGCUUGUGCCUCUCACGUUAGCGGCGGACGGGUGAGUAACGCGUGGAUAACCUACCUAUAAUUCUGGGAUAACUUCGGGAAACCGGAGCUAAUACCGUAUAAUAUAUUGAACCGCAGGGUUCAAUAGUGAAUUACGGCUUUUCUGUCACUUAUAGAUGGAUCCGCGCCGCAUUAGCUGGUUGGUAGGGUAACGGCUUACCAAGGCGACGAUGCGUAGCCGACCGGAGGGGGGGAUCGGCGACACGGGAACUGGGACACGGUCCAGACGCCUAAGGGAGGCACCAGUCGGGAAUCCUCGGCAAUGGGCGAAAGCCUGACGCAGCGAGGCCGAGUGAGUGAUGAAGGUCUUCGGUUCGUAAAGCCCUGUUAUUGGGGAAGAACAACUGUGGACGGAGACAUGGCGGUCUUGACGGUACCUAAUCAGAAAGCACCGGCUAACUACGUG
rnacentral:rRNA from 1 species